UACGAAGGGGGCGAGCGUUGUUCGGAUUUACUGGGCGUAAAGGGCGCGUAGGCGGCCCCUCAAGUCAGGCGUGAAAGCCCCGGGCUCAACCUGGGAAUUGCGCUUGGGACUGGGGGGGCUGGAGUUCGGGAGAGGAGCGUGGAAUUCCCAGUGUAGAGGUGAAAUUCGUAGAUAUCAGGAGGAACACCGGUGGCGAAGGCGGAUCUCUGGGCCUGUCCUGACGCUGAGGCGCGAAAGCUAGGGGGAGCGAACAGG
rnacentral:rRNA from 1 species